rnacentral:rRNA from 1 species
AUUGAACGCUGGCGGCAGGCCUAACACAUGCAAGUCGAGCGGAUGAAGGGAGCUUGCUCCUGGAUUCAGCGGCGGACGGGUGAGUAAUGCCUAGGAAUCUGCCUGGUAGUGGGGGAUAACGUCCGGAAACGGGCGCUAAUACCGCAUACGUCCUGAGGGAGAAAGUGGGGGAUCUUCGGACCUCACGCUAUCAGAUGAGCCUAGGUCGGAUUAGCUAGUUGGUGGGGUAAAGGCCUACCUAGGCGACGACCCGUAACUGGUCUGAGAGGAUGAUCAGUCACACUGGAACUGAGACACGGUCCAGACUCCUACGGGAGGCAGCAGUGGGGAAUAUUGGACAAAGGGCGAAAGCCUGAUCCAGCCAUGCCGCGUGUGUGAAGAAGGUCUUCGGACUGUAAAGCACUUUAAGUUGGGAGGAAGGGCAGUAAGUUAAUACCUUGCUGUUUUGACGUUACCAACAGAAUAAGCACCGGCUAACUUCGUG